GAACACGUGAAAUUCCGUCGGAAUCCGGGAGGACCAUCUCCCAAGGCUAAAUACUCCCUAGUGACCGAUAGUGAACCAGUACCGUGAGGGAAAGGUGAAAAGCACCCCGGAAGGGGAGUGAAACAGUUCCUGAAACCGUGUGCCUACAAGUAGUUAGAGCCCGUUAAUGGGUGAUAGCGUGCCUUUUGUAGAAUGAACCGGCGAGUUACGAUUUGUUGCAAGGUUAAGCGGAAAAAGCGGAGCCGUAGCGAAAGCGAGUCUGAAUAGGGCGCAUAAGUAACAGGUCGUAGACCCGAAACCAGGUGAUCUACCCAUGUCCAGGAUGAAGGUAAGGUAAUACUUACUGGAGGUCCGAACCCACGCACGUUGAAAAGUGCGGGGAUGAGGUGUGGGUAGCGGAGAAAUUCCAAUCGAACUUGGAGAUAGCUGGUUCUCUCCGAAAUAGCUUUAGGGCUAGCCUCGAGGUAAAGAGUCAUGGAGGUAGAGCACUGUUUGGACUAGGGGCCCUUCUCGGGUUACCGAAUUCAGAUAAACUCCGAAUGCCAUGUACUUAUACUCGGGAGUCAGACUGCGAGUGAUAAGAUCCGUAGUCGAAAGGGAAACAGCCCAGACCACCAGUUAAGGUCCCCAAAUAUAUGUUAAGUGGAAAAGGAUGUGGGGUUGCUUAGACAACCAGGAUGUUGGCUUAGAAGCAGCCACCAUUGAAAGAGUGCGUAAUAGCUCACUGGUCGAGUGACCCCGCGCCGAAAAUGUACCGGGGCUAAACAUAUUACCGAAACUGUGGAUGAACCUCUUUAGAGGUUCGUGGUAGGAGAGCGUUCUAAGGGCGGUGAAGUCAGACCGGAAGGACUGGUGGAGCGCUUAGAAGUGAGAAUGCCGGUAUGAGUAGCGAAAGAAGGGUGAGAAUCCCUUCCACCGAAUAUCUAAGGU
rnacentral:rRNA from 1 species